GGCAAGUCGAGCGAACUUGCGGGAGCUUGCUCCCAAAAGUUAGUUUCCGACGGGUGAGAAACACAUGGGCAACCUGCCUAUAAGACUGGGAUAACUUCGGGAAACCGGAGCUAAUACCGGAUAACUCCUUUCCUCUCAUGAGGAAAGGCUGAAAGACGGUUUCGGCUGUCACUUAUAGAUGGGCCCGCGGCGCAUUAGCUAGUUGGUGAGGUAACGGCUCACCAAGGCCACGAUGCGUAGCUGACCUGAGAGGGUGAUCGGCCACACUGGGACUGAUACACGGCCCAGACUC
rnacentral:misc_RNA from 1 species